GGCCUGGACAAAUGGAAUUCAAGGGCUGGGGAAAGAGUGGGCUGAGGCCUUACCGGUCACACCUACAGGCUGCCGAGCCUGCCAGGCAGCUUCAAUUGCAGGGUUCGGCUCCCAGAGAGAAUGGCUGCUGUUCUAUUCUACCUUGGUCCCUGGGAUGGAAACCUGAUUGGAUUGAAUCCUAGGAUAUGUCAUUUUCCCUCUGCUAGCUGCUGGUCCCAGCGUCUCCCAUACCUGAUGGUGUGAGGCUGGACCAGAGCCGGUAUCUAUGCCAGGAGAGUCUGGGGCUUGGCCUGUUUCUGGGGCACUGGGGCACUGGGGCAGGGAAUAGGUCUUGGCUGCUAGGUGAGCUACUCCUCAAUGCACCCAGGAGCUUUCCAGAUCCAUAGCCCUGAAGAGAGAAGAGAGAAGAUCUCACGGACUGUUGAUCUUUCACCUUUCCCUCUCUGCUGUCCCCAACCUGUCAUCUGUGCCACAGAACUGAGGACCUAGUUGGAGAGACAGACAGGUGAGAUAGAUGGCUGAGAGAGGGACCAAACUGCCCCACCCCCAGCCAGCCCUUAAGAACCUCCUUUUAAAAUUGCUUUGCAUCAUAUUUCUCUCCCUGCUCAGCCCCACUGGCUCCAGCAGCUCUGGCCUCCUCAUCCAUCAUGCUGGCUGCAGGGCACGAGCGUAUGUCUUGCAGAGAAACCUUUCUGCCCUAGGCCUCCAAGGGGAAGGGCUCAGCUGUCAGAGAAGAGGGCCGUUUCCAAAGGGGUCAAAGCGCUGGACCCUCCAGGAUUGAUGGGCUAUGAAUUAUGGAUGUCGCAUCCGCCAGUCCCAAGGCUCCAGAGCCAGAGAGGAGGAGGGGAUAGAAGAAAGCAGACAUGCCUGAGGCCACACAGCUGGCUGUCAUAGAAGUUACUUGGACAACACCACCCACCCCUGGGGGGUGGGGUGGUGGGAACUUGCUUGGUGAUGGCAACAAACAAACAAACACUUUCCCCUUCCCACUUCUCUUCCGGUAUUCCAGACAGGAGGAAUAAUGUACUGAUCUGCUGACAUUAAGAAGGACCCUAUUUUCAGAUUACUUCUUCAAAGGAGCAGCAUCUACAUUGGCAAGGACCGCCGUGAGGAUCCAAGUGCACAGUGAGGUGGGGGGAGGCAGAUACAUGGAUUCCUUUCCACGUGGCCCACAAGAAACACCUGUCCCUCCAGACUCGGGGACCACCAGGGACCUUGAAUAGUUGCCUUGGCAACUCAUUGCCUGGCUAACUCCCACUCCUUUGGGUUUCAGCUUAAACAUCAGUUGUGCAAGAUCUUCUGGACCCCUAAGUUGGGUCCUCCUCUUGUAAGCAUUCAUAGCAUUCUCUACAUACCCUUUACAGCACUUUUAUGAGUUGAAUAGCAUGGUUAUUGGUGUGCUUAUUUGUUUCACACCUGUCUUUUGCACUAAAUUCUAAGCUCUCUGAGGAAAAGGAAUAUGUUUCUGUUGCGUACCAUCUUAUCACCACGUAGCAGUGGGUGCUCCAUAAGAUCCUCCUGCGUGAGUAAGUGAAUUCCCUGCCUCAUCCCUCUCUCAUGCCUUAGCAUGAGGCCUGAGGCCAAGAGCCCGUCCAUCACAUACCCCUUGCCCAAAGCCUCCUUAUAACGGUCAGGAGAAGGGUGGCAUCUCCUCCUCUCCCUUCUAACUCAAGGAACAAAUCACUGGCUACAUGAUAGUUGCCCUUCCUCCCAUCCUUCCAGCAUAGUAGCCCCUGCCCAGGAUCCAAAAGGCAGAAGGUGAGUAAUUGCUAUUUUUAUUUAUCUUUGCACAAGGCUGCCCUCUGGUGGUCGAACAUGUAGGAGCGAAUGGGAAGGAUGGAAACCCCAGUAGCCAGGAACCAGCCCAGCUGGCUGAGCCAACCACGCUCAAGAGACUGGCCAGCGAGCCAGGGAGUAGGCCCAAACCAGAGGAAAUAACAUAAACCAGGACUCCUUGGAAAAGCCCUCGGAUGCCUCAGUGCCCCUCCCUGGAGUUUUGUCCUGUGCAGUGGCCGUCCAUCUUGCAUCCUUUAGAAGAAGCCUCUUGAAAGCGAGAACCAACAGGCCCAGGAAUCCCUGGAUCCACCUCACCUCCACUUGGCAUUACAUACUCAGCCCUUUGAAGUCUUCGGCCCUGAUACGGCUGAUGCGGUUGAAGCGUGCAUACAGCAGAUUGCUGAGGCCUCACUGCCAGGGAUGCCAGCCGCAGCCUCCAGGAGGGCAUCAGGGAAGGAAAGAGAGCUGCUGAGGAGGGACUUUGAAGCUGAAAAGCAGUGUGACUGCUUCAUUUGCUCCCAUGCCAAGUGACAGCCACAAAGUUAGUUAUUCUUCUCUACAGGCUUUUAAUUGUCUGUAAUCUAAUUACCACUCAACCUGCUUCCCCCGUCAUGCUAUUAAUUAAGGCAGGGUGGCUUUGCUAGGGCAUAAGGGAGUUCUUGCAUUUCUUUGCUUCUUACUCAACUUGUACAUUCAGGCAAAAGUAUUAGGGACAGCCAGUGCCAGUCUUUGAUUUCUUUUUUCCUGUUCUUACUGUGGCUAUUUCCCCUUCUCUCCCUGCUAGUAAGGGUAGCCCUGACCCUCCAUGCCCCAACCCCAACCACGUUCCACUUUGGUACCCCCUGGUGCUGGGUCAUAGCUGCUUGGCCUAUGACCUAGGGAUAUUGCGACCAUGUGACUGUGCACUUACCAUGGUUGGGCUGGGAACUCAGUAGCAGCCCUGCUGUAGUAGGUCUGGUCAUCGUGGGGUUUGACGAGGGUGUCCCUGGAGCCGUAGUGCUCUUGGCGGGACUGAUGCUGGUUGCAGGAGCGAGGCUAGUCACCUUAACCUGGAGAUGUAGCACAGAGUACACAGUAGCCCAGCUUUUGCACAAAAGGGACUUAACUUUGGACUCUGGGAACCUCAGUGAUGGAUUUCAAACCAGCAAAGAGUCACUGUGGAGGAGGAGGAGGGAAGGAUAGCAGAAAGACUGUGCAAAAAGGGGACCUGACAGAGCAUCAGGUCCAGCAUGUCCAUCCUAUGGAUGAAGAAACUGGGGCCCAGAGAGGAGAGGGAUGAGGAUCAAAGAGCCAGCAGGUGGUCAAGGCAGAGACGAAACCUGCUCUCCCGAUUUCCCAGGCCGGCACUCUUCCCCUGCUCCACACCGACCAGGCUCACGCACAAUUGAGUAGGGGCUUCUGGGCUUGCACCCCACGCUGCUGCAGUGAAGGCCAAGAGGACCUGGGAAAGAACUUCAGACUGGAGGACAGUUUCAGAAAAGAGAUGGGGGAUGUGGCACUUUUAUUUCCUAGAGAAUAUGAUGAGGACAUUGCGAACCCCUCCCCCAGUGAGACAUAGCUUUGGCAGGGGGAGGCAAGUAUGAGUUUUGAAGAAGGAGAAGUCCCAGGUUUGUGUCCUGUUUCUUAGUAUCAUCUAAGUGACAAGUCCCUAUGGAGGGAUAAGAAUUUCCACCUCACAGAGAAAGAGGUGGAGGCUGGAGACACCCGCACUUUGGGGCAGAUGGGAGGGCCCUGGCCUCUGACUCCCAGUGUCAUGCAGGGAAUGUAGUUGGUCUGCUGUGUCC
rnacentral:lncRNA from 10 species